rnacentral:snRNA from 1 species
AUAUUGUUCAGGGUAUUUUGAACUGGAAUGCAAAAUGGUGGUUAAGAUUCUGGUUCAUCGGGGUACUUCGAUAUUAAACUGAUUUUUUGACCUAGAUGAGGUGCCCGGAGCAAGCUCCGCCCUCAUCACGGGUUGCCCUGGUAUUGCAGUACUUCCAGGCGAGGCCCAUCCUCA